rnacentral:rRNA from 1 species
GUGUUAUACAGCGAAACUGCGAAUGGCUCAUUAAAACAGUUAUAGUUUAUUUGGUAAUCGAAAUUACAUGGAUAACCGUGGUAUCUUCUAGAGCUAAUACAUGCAGGUUAGCCCGACUUUGCGGAAGGGCUGUAUUUAUUAGAUAACAGACCAAUAUUCCUCGUGUCUAUUGUGGUGACUCAUAGUAACUGAUCGGAUCGCAUGGCCUUGUGCCGCGACAAACCAUUCAAGUUUCUGACCCAUCAGCUUUCGAUGGUAGUGUAUUGGACUACCAUGGCUUUCACGGGUAACGGAGGAUUAGGGUCCGAUUCCGGAGAGGGAGCCUGAGAAACGGCUACCACAUCUAAGGAAGGCAGCAGGCGCGUAAAUUACCCAAUCCUGACUCAGGGAGGUAGUGACAAGAAAUAACGGGUCGGGGCAUUCGCCUCGGGAUUGCAAUGAAUCGAAUUUACACCCCUUAAUGAGGAUCAAUUGGAGGGCAAGUCUGGUGCCAGCAGCCGCGGUAAUUCCAGCUCCAAUAGCGUAUAUUAAAGUUGGUGCAGUUAAAAAGCUCGUAGUUUGAUUUCUGGACGGGCGCUAACACCCGCUUGUUUAGUGAGGUGGCGGCGCCCGCCCAUCCUUCUGUUAACGCCACCGGCAUUCAUUUGCUGGCGGCGGGCUCAGAUAUUUUACCUUGAGAAAAUUAGAGUGUUUCAGGCAGGCUUGCGCCUAGAUACAUUAGCAUGGAAUAAUAGAAUAGGACUUUGGCCUCUUCUGUUGGUCUGAGGGGUUAGAGUAAUGAUUAAUAGGG